AUGACUCCUACAGCCUGCAAUGCAUGUGCUUGCUACGCUAUAGGAAUGACCACAGCACAUAAAGGCUACGCUAUAGGACUGACCACAGCACAUAAAGGCUACGCUAUAGGACUGACCACAGCACAUAAAGGCUACGCUUUAGGAAUGACCACAGCACAUAAAGGAAACCCUUUAGGACUGACCACAGCACAUAAAGGCUACGCUUUAGGAAUGACCACAGCACAUAAAGGCUACGCUUUAAGAAUGACCACAGCACAUAAAGGCUACGCUAUAGGAAUGACCACAGCACAUAAAGGAAACCCUUUAGGAAUGACCACAGCACAUAAAGCCUACACUAUAGGAAUGACCACAGCACAUAAAGGCUACACUAUAGGAAUGACCACAGCACAUAAAGGCUACGCUUUAAGAAUGACCACAGCACAUAAAGGCUACGCUAUAGGAAUGACCACAGCACAUAAAGGCUACAGUAUAGGACUGACCACAGCACAUAAAGGAAACCCUUUAGGAAUGACCACAGCACAUAAAGGCUACGCUAUAGGACUGACCACAGCACAUAAAGGAAACCCUAUAGGAAUGACCACAGCACAUAAAGGCUACGCUAUAGGAAUGACCACAGCACAUAAAGGAAACCCUUUAGGAAUGACCACAGCACAUAAAGGCUACNAUAAAGGAAACCCUUUAGGAAUGACCACAGCACAUAAAGGCUACACUAUAGGAAUGACCACAGCACAUAAAGGCUACACUAUAGGAAUGACCACAGCACAUAAAGGCUAUGCUAUAGGAAUGACCACAGCACAUAAAGGCUAUGCUAUAGGAAUGACCACAGCACAUAAAGGCUACGCUAUAGGACUGACCACAGCACAUAAAGGAAACCCUAUAGGAAUGACCACAGGACAUAAAGGCUACACUAUGGGAAUGACCACAGCACAUAAAGGCUACGCUAUAGGAAUGACCACAGCACAUAAAGGCUACGCUAUAGGAAUGACCACAGCACAUAAAGGAAACCCUAUAGGAAUGACCACAGCACUUAAAGGAAACCCUUUAGGAAUGACCACAGCACAUAAAGGAAACCCUCUAGGAAUGACCACAGCACAUAAAGGCUACGCUAUAGGAAUGACCACAGGAAUGUGUUUAGUGUGA
rnacentral:lncRNA from 1 species